rnacentral:rRNA from 1 species
GACAGAGGGGGCAAGCGUUGCUCGGAAUUACUGGGCGUAAAGGGCGCGUAGGCGGGAUGGCAGUCGGUCGUGAAAUCCCUCGGCUCAACUGAGGAUCGUCGAUCGAUACUGCCGUUCUUGAGGAUUGCAGAGGAGACUGGAAUUCCCGGUGUAGCGGUGAAAUGUGUAGAGAUCGGGAGGAACACCGGUGGCGAAGGCGGGUCUCUGGGCAAUUCCUGACGCUGAGGCGCGAAAGCGUGGGGAGCAAACGGG